GACGAACGCUGGCGGCGUGCUUAACACAUGCAAGUCGAGCGGUAAGGCCCUUUCGGGGGUACGACGAGCGGCGAACGGGUGAGUAACACGUGAGCAACCUACCCUCAACUUCGGGAUAAGCCUCGGAAACGGGGUCGUAAUACCGGAUAUCACUCAUUGCCUCAUGGUUUUGGGUUGAAAGUUCUGGCGGUUGGGGAUGGGCUCGCGGCCUAUCAGCUUGUUGGUGGGGUAAUGGCCUACCAAGGCGUCGACGGGUAGCCGGCCUGAGAGGGCGACCGGCCACACUGGGACUGAGACACGGCCCAGACUCCUACGGGAGGCAGCAGUGGGAAUUGUUCGCAAUGGGCGCAAGCCUGACGACGCAACGCCGCGUGGAGGAUGAAGAUCUUCGGGUCGUAAACUCCUUUCGAUCGAGACGAACGGCCUCCGGGUUAAUACUCCGGAGGAGUGACGGUACCGAGAGAAGAAGCCCCGGCUAACUCCGUGCCAGCCGCCGCGGUAAC
rnacentral:rRNA from 1 species